AUGAUGCCCAGAAAACUUCAAGAUACUGCCGACCUAAGAGGCCAGUACUUUUCAUCUUACAACCUCCCAGAGCGUGUGAGGAACUGGGAUCAGAACUCUCCACCGACAUCCCUUGAGAAAUGUCGCCAGUGGAGGGAGCGGGGCAGACAAUGGGAUAAACUUUUGCCCCGACUGCUCCGCGUUUACAGACACCCCGAGGCUGGCACCCUACCGCUGCCACCGCCGCCGCCGCGCAUAGCUGCUGGAAGCCCCGACAGCAGGGGCUUGUGCGAGAGCCUGCGCAUCUACCUCGGGCUGCUGGGAGGGAGGGAGGGAAGGCGAGCGGCGAGCAGCCCCUCUCUCCUCCUUCGGGAACCGAAGCCAAAUCUCACGCACGAGCAGUUCCGGGUGCUCCAAAACUUGUUCGCGAAGUACCCGGAGAAAGAGCGCGGCGGGCUGGGCGAGCCCCAGCCGCUGCCGAGACGCGGUGUCCAAGCCUGCAAGCGACACCGGCGUCGGGUGGGCGCCCCGGGGAGCCCCGAACGGGCGGCCGCACCUGCUGUCACUCCCGCGGCCGGCCGCGGCGGACCAGGCCUGCGGCCCGCACUCCCCCGCAGCCUCCGCGGCCCUCCCGCCGCCCGGCCCCGCUCGGCUCAGCCCCGCUCGGCUCCGCUCCGCUCCGCUCCCCGCCUCAGGCCGCACUCGGCCGCGUCCCCUCAGCCACGAGCUGCGAGGCUCCGUAGACUCACCGGGCCUCCCUCGCCGCGGUGCGGCCGCUCCCGUCUCCCCGCCGCUCCCGCGCUACCCCCGGGCGUUGGGCGCGGGCCGCGGGGCGUCCGCAGUAACGGGCCCGCGGAGGGCGGCGGCGCGCGGAGGGCGGGGCGGGGCGGGGCGGGGCGGACCCGCAAGCCUGGCGCCCGCCGUGGCCGGCCGGCGCGCGGGACUUCUUUGCCGAGGGUCGCAGCGCGGCGGACGCUGACGCCGAGGAGAGGUCCGCGGGGGACGGACUGCGGAGGACCAGAACCACCUGCUGGAGGAGCCGCGCUACGGGGGCCGCGCAGGGUCCAAACGGCUCGCGUAGGCGGCGGCUCCGCGGUCCUCGGGGUCGCGGAGCCGGGAAGGUGGGAGGCCUUCCGGGAGGAGGCUUAGGCCGCCGCGGGCGGCGCGCGGCGGGAUCGCCAGGCUGUGGGGAGGCCCGGGGGCGGAGGCGGACCUCCAGUCGGCGAGGGAGGGCGGUGCUGCACGAGAUGCAAACAGCCGGACGGCCUUGGGUUCCCGCGGGAGCACCUCCGGGGCCGCUUUAGUUUUGCAAAGUUAAGCGGCUUACCGGCAAACCCGUCCGCUACCGCCCAGCCGUGCGGGCUGCCCGGCGAUGUCCCGCGCGAGUCACCGCCGCGGGUGUAGACGUGGGGGACACAGUGGGGAGCGAAGCAAAGAAUCGCAGAAGACGCCAGAUCACCCUAGGGCCCGGUGGAAAAAGAGAAUGUUACUCGGGAUCCGAGGACUGCGAGCAUCUUUGGGGCAGCGCGAGGGAGGAGGCUUUUGGAUUUGGCCUGGGAAGAGGUGGGGUUUUGCGGGGAGACCUCGGGGCCUUGGAUGGAGGCCAUUGGACGCUGCGUUCCACAAUGAGAUUGGAGGUGUUGACAAGUGGCAGAGACGACUGAAAAAUGAGGGAGGGGGGCGGCGGUGGUGAGGGAUGGCUGAGUUCCAAGAGUAAGGAUUGAUGUUUAAGGCAAUAUUUGAUGUUUUAGGAUUUAGAAGUUUGAAGGAAGAAAUGAAGGCUUUUUUUGCUUUGUAACUCCUGCAGAUGUUAGAGAUUGAAAACUGGCAGUCCUGUGUAGACCAGGCAGACGGUAAUAACAGAUGAGCUAUGGGGGGGCGGGGGGGGCGGUGAGGACACACGGCUAUGAGCCCCCAACACUUGGCAAGCUGAUCAGAAAGUGAGUCCAAGGCCGGUGGCUACACAGAAAGAUUGAUCCGGGGGUCGGGGCCAAGAGGAUGGGGCAAGACAAGAUAAAGGAAGGCAGGAAGAAUUUUAAAUGAUUGAGAAGUGAUGUGGAGGUGCAUUCUACAGGAUUUGAACAUCUGAUUGGGAAGGGAGAAAUGAGGUCUUGAGACCCGGUUGCUUGUAAGAGGGAGCGUGAACACUUGGAAGAGGAGGAUGCAGCUACUUACCGGUUUUCAUAGGACUGGGGUUGAAGGCAGCUAAAUAGGUGGCCAUAAGCAGUUGAAGCAGUUCUAAAACAGCUGAAAGAACUGCACCUGGACAGUACACUGGGUGCUGGGGAAUAGUUCAGUCGAUAGCUUGAGUUCUAGCCCCAGAAUAAAUGUAAAAGCUCCCAGCGUGGUAUAUCAAGCUCUGGUCCCAAAGAUUAGCGGGCAGAAACAGGUGGAUCCCUCGGUCUUGUUAGCUACCCUCCCACUCUCCACAAAAAGAUAGCACCUGACAAAUGAUAACCACACCCCCUCCCAGCAUGUGCAUGAACAACACACACAAGGAUCGGAAACUCCUCAGCUUAGUAGCGUAUUGCUAUAAGAGAAGGGGGCAGACUCAGUCUAGAAAUACAUCAUCAUUAGAGUCUUGCUACCCCAAAGUUGACCACAUGUGUGUCACCAGCAAGUUUGUCAGAAACGUGUGGAUCUCGGGCCUAACACACACCUGCCCAUUAGAAUCUGCAACCUCAAAGAAAUUCCAAGAGGUGACCCCAUCAGAUUUUGGGAAGCUCAGCUCUAGAUGAGGAAAGUCAACAGAGGAGGGGAGGGUGGGCAGGGAGGAAGAGAGGGACACUUGGGUAAGGCACCACAGCAGGGGACUUCAGUCUCGUCAAAGCUGGGCCAGGGAGUGUGGGUCAGAACCACACACCGUGGAGGGUGCGGGAAAACCACGUGUGUGGGUUGUGACUGGCUGCCACGAUCACAACAACCGUGUUUUCACUGAGGAGGGCUUUAGAGACUCUUACUUUCGGGCUCGGGGUUGCCUAGAGACAGUCCUAGCCCUGCUCACACACUCAGGGCAUGUUGAAGUAAGUGGGUGGAUUGAUAGAUCAAGAACAAAGUGUCCCCAGAGCAAGGUCAGCUAAUCGUUUAUCACAACUCGUGCCCCUGAACACAGACUCCUUUUCUCAGCCCCCGCGGGUUAAUGCUCCUGUGCACUAUUUCCCAUAGAAGAUGAGCAGGAACUGUGCCUGCCACUGCCAGGUAGGACCCUUUACCUCCUCCAGGUAUCCCCCGGAAUUGGCAGCACCCCAGCAACGGGCCUGGAGGAAGAGCUUCCCCUUCUGAAGGGAACAACGUGGAUUUGCAUGGACUCAGGCGUGGUAGGCUGGAAGGCCGAGGGAGGAAGGAGCAUCUAGAAGUACCGUAAAGUUGGAGCGAUGGCUCAGUGGUUGAGGGUAUUUGCCACUCUUCAGAGGACCUGUGUGGGUCUGAUUCGCAGCACCCCCAUGAUGGCUCACAAACACCUGUAGCUCCAGAUCUUGUGGCCAUGAGUGCGGUGCACAGAUACCUGCAGGCAGGCAUCUGCAAACAUAAAAUUGAACAUAUAGUAAGGCUUCUAAACUGGUGCAUUUGACCGGGUUGUUUUUUUUUUUUUUUUUUUUUUUUUAGAACCUGGGUCCUAUAGGGAAUAUCCUAAACACAGCACAGUUGAGUAGGGUGCACGUGAAAACGAAUCUGUAGCUGUUAGUAAUGCCAGGGUGCCGGAAGUGGGCCUGGGAAGGACUGAGUGCUGCACCUCAGAUCCUGAGGGCUCCCAAGAGGUAAGUCUGGUAAAGGCUUGGUGCACAGCACCUCUGGGGGUAGCUUCAAAAGAUGAGUGGACUCUGGACCCUACUUCAGUCUUUGUUGUUGUUGUUCCUUUCUGGCUGUGGAGUGAGCAGCUUAGGGCUUAGCUCCCUGCCACGGUGCUCCCCACAGGCCUCAAAGCAAAGCCAAACACCAGAGCACAGGAAACUUUGAGUGAGCUAGAACUAAUCUCUCUUCAAAAGCUGACCACCACCCGCAGUGGUGCUUUAAUCCCAGCACUAGGGAGGCAGAGGCAGGCAGAUUUCUGAGUUCGAGGCCAACCUGGUCUACAGAGUGAGUUCCAGGACAGCCAGGGCUAUACAGAGAAACCCUGUCUCGAAAAACCUAAAUAAAUAAAUAAAUAAAUAAAUAGAAGCUGACCACCUCAACUUCUGUUAUGAUAAUAGCUGAGUACCGGUGAAGGACCACACGGUCCAAGGUCCUUGGAAGAGAGGAAAGGGUCAAAGAAUUGAGAAGCAGAAAGGGCUUUGAAAGGAAUAGCCUCGUUAUAUUGUUUGUAUGUAGCCACGCACUGUCUUGGCUCACACCACACCACACCCAACAGUGGUCCAUCUCCUAAGAUGGAGUUGCAGGGUGCUGGCCAGGGAGGGGCAGAUCCUGUACUUAGAGGAGGUGGAGGCAGGAGGAUCAUGAGUUUGCUGCCAGUCUAAGCUACAAAGAGAAUUUGAGGCAAUCGAGACUCUGUCUCAGAGAAGUAAAAAUCCACGCAAACAACAUCAGCCAGCUAAGGAAAUGUUGUCUAAUGACAUCCGGCUGCCUUCGUCUGUGUUAGUGGCCUCUGCGCCAUGCGGUGACUGAGUCAGCCCGCUGAGUGGCUUUCAGAACAUAUCCUUGUCACUAUGAAAUACCAGACUCUCCCAUGCGUGUGACUAUAUAAAAGUUUCCCUUUGCUCCUAAAGCCCCCAUGUUAAAGGCUUUGUUGUUAAGGCAGCGCUGGUGGCUUAAAGAGGUAGGGCCUGGGGGAAGGCCCUUAGGCCAAUGGCAGCAGCUCCUGAAGGCGGUGGAAUCCCAGACCUCCCCUUAUUUAGUCUUGUCCUGGGCAAUGAAGUGAGCUUUACUUGGUAAGUGCUCCUGUCCAAAUGCAACGGGGCCUGCCAGUCAGCCAGCCAGUCAGGGACCUCCAAAACUGAGCCAAAAUUAAUAUGUACUCUUUGUAAGUUGUCUGAGUUAGGUACUUUCCACUGUAACACAAAGCUGAUUAGCAUGGAGUGGGAACCAGCUAACCCAAAGGAAGAGAUCUCUAAAUAUGAAGUUUGCUUCACUGUGGUGAGGAGUGUAAGUCUUCUUUUAAUCUCUUACAGUGAAGCUUUCCACACGAUCAGAGAUUUUGUUAGAUUUCUGUCACUGACUCUCUAGUAUAGGUAAACUCUCAAGGAUGUGAAUGUCAUUGGAAGAAGCCCCUUGCAUGCAAGACCAGCCUCCGUGGACAAACAGGCAAAGUUAAAAGGAUAAGAUAGUGUAUAGAACUAGUACCUAGGCAUAACAAGAUAUAUGUCAGGUUUUUAUUUUUUAUUUUUAUUUCAAAUGCAUGGGCAUUCUGCCUACAUGUGUAAGGGCACCCAAUCCCCUGGAGCUGGAGUCACAGACAGUUGUAAACCGCCAUGUGGUUGCUGGGAAUUAAAUCAGGGUCUUCCAGAAGAGCAGCCAGUGCUCUUCACCACUGAAUUGUCUCUCCAGCACCAAGAUGUCAGGCUUUUUUUUUUAACUAAAAUUAAUUUUUAUUUUAUCAUUUUAUGUGGAUGGGUUUUUGGAUACAUCCACGUAUUCAGUACCCUCAGAGUCCAGAACAGUGUAUUGGAUCUGUGGAACUGGAGUUACAGAUGGUUGUAAGCCUCCAUGUGGGUACUAGGACUUGAACCCUGGUCUUCUGGAAGAGCUGUGUCCUAGUUAGGGUUGCUAUUGCUGUGAUGAAUCACCAUGACCGAAAGCAACUUGGAGAGGAAAGGGUUUGUUUGGCUUAUAUUUCCACGUCACUUCAUCAUUGAAUUCAGAACAGGAACUCAACCAGGGCAGGAACCUGGAGGCAGGAGUUGAUGCAGAGGUCAUGGAGGGAUGGAUGUUACUUACUGGCUUGCUUUCCCUGGCUUGCUCAGCCUGCUUUCUUAUAGAACCCAGGACCACCAGCAUAGGGAUGGCACCACCCACAAUGGGCUGAGCCCUCUCCCAUCAAUCACUAAUAAGAAUGCCCUACAGGCUUGCCUAUAGCCUGAUCUUACUGGAAGCCUGAUCUUGCUUGACUAUAGCUCGUGUCAGACUGGCAUAAACUAACAAGUUCAAGCAAGUCCUCUUAACAGCUGAGCCAUUUUUCCAGCCAAAAUCUUAAAUAUUCUGACUUCCUUCUGCUUUAUCCAGGAAAUUAUCACAGAGAAGUACUCCAUGCAAAUAAGGACACAAAUUAAGAAAUAUAAAAACAUGAGGGUCAGGUAAAUAGAAGCUAAAGAGAAGGAAAUGAAGCUCCUUUGCCUGGAUGGUGGGACCUCCAGGAAGAAGACCAUGCCAGGACUAAAGACCAACUGGUCCAUCCUGAUGCUGGCAGGUAGCAUCUCCAGCAUAUGGUGGCAAUGAUGUGUUUGAGCCUUGCGAAUGAAACUUUCCAACUCUGGUGGGUCACAGGAAGGCUACCAGUUUCAUCUGUUAGCCAGUGAAGCGGAGGUGGAAGGGACUGUGGAGUGCAGAAAGCAGAACUGUAGCUGCCCCACUGUGGGGCGUGAGGUAUAACUGAAGGAAUCAGUUUACUGUGGAGAGCUAAUCUAUUAUACAGGGGAGUUGGGGGACUCUGUGGUCAUCAGGGUGAUGCAGUUGACUUCUGAUAUGUGAAGCACUGUAGGUGAUGUUUGCGUGAUCUUUAUAUAAUGGAAAAAAGACAGUCUUGUGAGGAUAUAUACUACAUAUUACAUGGUAAUUUUAGCUGCAUGACAUUCAGGGGCAGGAGAUGAACCACUACUAUGGAAACAGUUGUAAAACAGGUGACUGAUGGGAGUUAGCACAGAAUGAGGGUAGACUAGGCAGAGCACAGGAUUUUUAUUUAGAGUACUGAGCCUGUUAUCCACGACACUGAUUAACAGUUGUGUAGACUCUUAGAGUAUACAACACUAAUAGUGAAUGCUCAUAUAACUCUGAACGUUGGGUAAUAAAGAGCUCUAUGAGUGAGCAUGGUGGCUCACGUCUGUAACCUCAGCAGUCAGGCUGAUGACUGCAAAUUCCAGGCUAGCCUGGGCUACAUAAUGAGAGCUUGGCAGCAGUAGGUUUGACACUUUAGAGAGAUCUGCAUGUGUGCAGUUGGGUAGGUAUGUGAAACCUCUACCGGCUGCUCCUUUUUGUUAUGUACUGAAUGUUUCUCUUAAAACUUAAUCCACUUAAAAGGAAAAGCAGAAACCUCAACAAAGACAGCUGCCCCCUUUUAGAACACUCCAGUAGGGGAGGUAACAGUUUGAUAAGCUCCAGAGUUAGGUGAGCUGCUGAGGUGGUCUCUCAACCUGAGUGUUCUGUAUUCUGUAUUUUGUGACAGUUCGCCCAAGUGUCCACUUGGGUGUGUAUACUGGGGGGAAGAGGGCAUUAGGUAACAUGCUUAAAAGAAACUUAAAAUGAAACAAAAAGAAUUUAAGCAGAGGCUGGGCGUGGGGGACCACACCUUUAAUCCCAACACUCAGGAGGCAGAGGCAGGUCAGUCUCUGGGAGUUCAAGGUCAGCCUGGUCUACAUAGUGAGUUCCAGGACAGCCAGGGCUACACAGAGACACGGUGUCUUUCAAACUAACAAUAAAACCCAAAACUUAAGCAGGUCACUGUCUCUGGUCCUGAGGCGUCUAGGUUUGGCAUAACUUGGCCAGCCAAAAUCGGUCAGCUCUUUACUAUCUAACUUGCUGCUUACAGAAGACACUACAUUUUUUACUUGAAGGUACUAGGGAUUAAACUUAGGCAAUCACUCUGACAUGGAGCUCUUCUCACAGCCCUCCCUCCCUCCGGAAGUAUAUGGAAGUCUUCCUGCUUCCUUAUUGGUUCCUUAUUGGUUCACAAUCCCACAGAACUCUUCAGACUGUAGAUUCUACUACCCCCAGGUCGCCUCCUGAAGGUCUGCCUGCUCAGGUCAUGGGUACUCUGAUAGAGACGUGGAGUAUUAACAUCACAGAUACACAUAAACUAAUGGGAAGGAGCUCCCUCUGAAAACCCACAGCGGACAGCUACCAUGGUAACAUCAAAUUUGCUCUGAUUUCUUCUGUAUCUGAGUGUAGAUCAGGGCACGCCAAAUGAAGGCCACGUGCUGGCAGCCUGAUUACCUGUCUGUGAAACGAGCCUCAGGAAAUGUCCCUACUCCAGCUGUGGUUCAGUCCUUCUGAAGUCACCAUUGCUAAAGGAAGAAAUAACAAGUGGCCCACAAUACUGGUUCAAAUCCCAGGAAAAAUGUGGCUUUUCACUCAUAAAUCAAGGAGAGUAACAAAGUAUGACUUAUGUUUGUUGAGGAGGACUUAGCAUAUUUUAAAUACUUUCCUGACAGAAGUCCCAUGAAAAUGCAGGGAAUAUGGCAAUCUCUCUUGUUAAGAUAUAUGAACUGGAGAGCAAUUCAUUUAGAAAAUACUUUAUCACAUGUAUGCUGGAGUUAUUCCACUUAAAUAGGCAACUUUGGGAACCUGAAUCUCAUUCUAAACACCAGUGCUCUACUUUUGAAUGUGUGUUUGUCUGUUUCUCUAGGAAGCAACAGACUACCAUAUAUAAUUUAAAAUGGCCAUUUCCUUCUCAUGAAAGUGAUUAAAAUGUUGCAUUUGAAAUAUUCCAUUUUUUUAAAGAAUAAAAAAAAAUGAUAAAAUAGGUUUUUUUUUUUUUAAUUUUGAAAAAUGGCUUACUGGUAGUUUGGAAAAACUGGAGUAGUUCUAACUGCUGAUACCCAGAACAUGCCCAGUGAGAGGACACGCUCUUAGGCCAAGGCCUAGAACUAGUUCAGAUGCUGCCAGCCUUGAGAUGAUGGAACUCACCUCAGGGGAGUGGCCCGGGCAUGACAGUGACCUCAUUUCCCAUUCUUCCUGACCAGAGAGCACAGGCAUGCUAAAAAGUAACCAUUCUGCUAAGUCCUCAGUCAGGACAAGCUCCGCCUCUCAAGGCAGCCAAAGGGCUACUGGUUUGUAAUCACAAAUGAAAAUCUUUUCUCCACGUGGAUAUUUUAAUGAGGGGGGAAAGUAAGCAAAAUAAUUGAGAUUGUAUGGUUUAGUAGAAAUGAAUCAUCAAUUUGUUUACAGUCACCUAACCCUUUGACAUUGCUGUUUCUAGUGCUGUGGGCUUCCAGUUCCGCUCACUUCUGUCUUGGGGGGCUUUUAUAUAAUCCUGAGUGAGUGGUAACCACAGUUAAAGAAACCAGUAUAAAAACUGGGCAGUGUUCUCUUCUUUUUUCUUUUGUACUUUUUCAAGACAGGGUUUCUCUGAUUGACCUCUAACUGGCUCUGUAGACCAGGCUGGCCUCAAAUUCUGAGAUUGGCCUCCUUCUGCUUUCUGAGUGUGGGGAUUAAAGGGCUGUGUAUUUUCAAAGAGCUAGUCCAGUGAGUCUUCUGUAGGAGGCAUUUCUGUGGGUGUCUUCCAUAGGAGUCUAAAAGACAUGCCUGGAUGUUGAUGUUAAGGUUUAGUCCUUUUGUCAGAGAAAUAAAAUAAAUCCUCUCCAAAUAUGUUUUAAAAGUGGGGGAGGGGGGCUGGCUUAUGAAAUACUUUGAAGUAAACCUUUCUGUGCUAUCCCUCCAUUCCUGCCCCUAGUUACGCAUCUUCUCAGCUGUCACCUGGGUCCCAGUGGAGAAAGAAGGGCAAAGCGCCAUGUGUCUCUAAUUUGCUCCUGGGAAUUGGGGACAUGGGGUCAGGUGACACACAAGGCCUUGGGUUUGAUUCCCCAACACUUUAAAAAAGUAGACAGCUUAAAUAAAAUCAAAUGAACAAUAUUUACCUAUCUGGAUUUGAAAAAUCAUACUUUAUUUUAUAUCUACUAUAAUAAGCUUGAAACUAUAAGACGUGAAUGAUUUUAAAGUAAUUUUCAUUUGUUCUACUUAAAUGACAAGCAUUAAAAAAAAGGCUUUGGCCAGGUGUGGUGGCACACGCCUUUAAUCCCAGCACUUGGGAGGCAGAGGCAGGCGGAUCUCUGAGUUUGAGGACAGCCUGGUCUACAGAGUAAGUUCCAGGACAGCCAGGGCUAUACAGAGAAACCCUGUCUCGGAAAACCAAAAAAAAAAAAAAAAAAAGAAAAAAGGAAAAAGGGCUUUAAACUUUUUCCUUUCCUGAGUGGCUUGACUCCUUGAGCAUAAAGGAUCUGACACAGUGAAAUGAAGACUAUAAAACGAUGUCUCUCAAAGCAAUGGAUCCAUAAUCCAGUAGAGGUCUCUGUUAGAAUUAGCCAGUGGAAUGGAACACCUAAGUCUAAUUUAAUGUCUUUGGGUUCAAAGAUCGCAUUCCUACCACUCCAAAUAAAGGCAAUUCUGUGCCUAAUGACAAUUCUGUACCAGAGACUGCUCAGACAUGGGUUUAAGCCAAGAGAAAGUCUUGAGUAAGCUGGCUAGUGACUGCACUGGCGUUUGGAAUCCCAGGGCAUGUCUGAGUCUUUCUCAGAGUGAGCCUUUGAACACGAAACCCAAGUCCUAGGUUGACAUACUUCAGUUAACAGGAAGAGUCAGCUAGAAGCAGAACGACAGGAAUCAAAAAGCCUGGUUAGGACAUUUAGAGACCUUCCAAGAACUAUGGGCUUUGAUGGGUUAGGCCUUUGUUUUUGUUUUUUGGUGCGUGGCACUGUUACAUGCUGCGUUCUUACAGCUUGAUCGGUAUUUCGGUAUGUUGUGAGUCACACUGAGGUCUCGGGGUCCUGUCACACAGACCUUCCUAUAAAAAAUAUUAAAAAUAUAUUAAGAGACAAAUACAGCUUGCCUGCCUUGGGGUAGGGUGGGAGGUGUAAAUGAAAACUCCCGGAAACAUUUAAAACAGAUGCUGUAACUGUCAUCAGAGUUUUCUGAGGUUCCUUUAUAUUACUUCCCUUGUUCUGAUUCCUCCCCUGCUGGGUUCAAGUCAAAGGACACCAAAGCCAUCAAACACCAUUUCCAGUGUUGGGUGCCUGUGGGCAGCUCAUCUUGAGAGACAGAAAUGAGCAGCGACCCUGUGCAGGGAAUCAGCAGUCAUUGACCGGCCCCCAGCUCCAAGACUGCAUCGCCGCAAUGACAGCUCCAUGGCAGAAAUCUGACGUAAUUCUCUGCGACACAGUUUGACAGGCUUGACCCCCUGAAGCGGUCCUAUACUUCUCACAGGCUGGAACUGGUGUGGUACUGGACUCUGAGAGUGUGUAAAGGGACGGGCCUCUGUUUUAUCGGCAAUGCUCUGCAGUUGGCCACUGGAGGGCGCUAUCGAGCUACGGGCUGGAAUUCUAGAUGCCCAUUUUAGUUCUUCAGAAAGCACAGUCGUCUCUUCUGGAUUCAGAACUCCAUCUCCAGCAUCAUGAUCUACAGAGAACCGGACACAAGACAAAACAAGCAAACACCGUCUUCUGAAAAUCAGGUUGCUUCUUUGAAACUGCCUUAGGUCACGUCAGCUCUGUGUUCCUGAGCGUUAAGGCUGAGCGGCUACACUGAAGCUGAAACAGACCCAGCCAGCAGUGACAGAGGUGCCUCUGUCUGGGCACUAGCAUGCUCUCAGGAGUUGUUUAGACUUCCAGCCCUCCUCUUCUCCAGUUCACGAAACAGCUUCUUGUUCUAGUCUUCGUAUCUGCCAGUUCCUUUUUUCCUUCAGUUGAAGUGCUUGUUUUAAAUAUUGGUGGAAUAUUCAAGAGGUCACAGCUUACAAGUGGGCAGAGCGAUGAGUCAGCAGUUAAGCGCACUUCCUGUGGGACAGAGGCCGAGAUGGUGAAGCCGGAAGUGCUGCAGCCCAAGAAGGAUGUGUUCUGAGUGCUCCAGGAUACGAAAACCCAGUUAGCGAUGAGCCAAAUCCUGGGGAGGAGGCUCUUCUCCUGAAGCAGGGCUUCCUUCUUCGAGACGAUGGCCUCACGUUUCUUCAGAUCUUCCUCCAGCAUUUCCAGUUCCUGGCGCUGGCUCAGGACCUUCUCCACCUCUUCAUCCAACCACUUCCUUUGCUCAUCCAAUUUCUAUGUUUAAAGAAAUACUGUGACUUGUUUCUCCUCUUACCAUAAAAAUCACAUCAUUUAAGUGGCUAAAAUCUUUAAAAUAAACAGUAAAACUAUCAGAGCAA